rnacentral:lncRNA from 1 species
UUACUUACCUGGAUGGGGUCAAUGGGUGAUCAUGAAGGCCCAUGGCCUAGGCAAGUGACCUCCAUUGCACUUAGGAGGGGUGCUUGCCUAAGGUCUACCCAAGUGGUGGAGCCUACAUCAUAAUUUGUUGCUGUGGGGGCCUGCGUUCGCGCGGCCCCUUCCAAUUUUAGUAUAUUUUUUUUGAAUAAUUAGUAGUUAAUGUUGGUAAAUUUUGUUUAAUUAGUUUAUUAGAGAUGGGAGAGUGAUAUUGUUAUUUUAGUUGAUUUAGUCCAAAACCCAUGGAAUUUAUAAUCCAAAUCAAAGAACAUAUUGGCAAAAGGUUUGCACCUUAACUAUUGAUUCCAACAGUUUCCGAUCUCAACUCAAAUUUUCAUCAACUAAGCCUACAAUGACAAUAAAUCUUUAAAUGAAAAGUUGAGAUCCUCACCAUCAUCUUCAUUCAUCAAUCAAAAGAGCUUCCAAAAUUAAAUCUUAAAACAUAAAUCUUUCUCUAUUC